UUUAAGGAAGGUUCUAAAGACCAGAUGUUGAAUUUUCAAAAAGUAUAUUUGAACGACCUGAACUCAUUGUUAUCAUUUUUUUUAAAAAACCGGAAACUACGUUGUAGUUUAAGCGCCGGGCUUUGAAUGUUUUAAAGCUAUUAAAAUAUCUUUAUAUAUUUUCGGAAACCAGUUUAACCGUAUGAUUUCUUAUCUAGGCACUUUAUGUUUUCAACAUUUAAUUAUCAAGUGGAAACUAAAGCAAAAUGGCUGAAAUUUGUGUCUGUAAUAUACUGUGGACGCUAACCAGCUUAUGUAUGGUGUUUUUGUUGUAUAAGUUUACAUCGAUAUUUGUGUGCACACUGUCGUCUGGAUUACUCCUCCUGUUUUUGUUUAUUGCUAUAACUGAUAACCCAAGACAUGACGACGAUUGUUUAAAGCAUGGGAUUCUUGGUUCUUGUUUGGCUACUGCGGGUGCGCUAGCUUUAGGUACAAUUGCAACAGGUUUGCAGUAUGGAUACACUACUUCAACAUGUUAUUUCAACGAGUGUUGUGAUAAUAAUUGGAUAUCACCGAAUAUCACUGGUCUGUCUUUGCAACUGAAUAAGAAACUGUAUGGUCAGCAUCUUGUCAUAAGUCCUGUAGUGAAACACCUGAAGGGUCAUGUUGAAGGUAACCCGCAAAAAGCAACAGUGAUAUCGCUUCACGGACUUCCAGGAACGGGAAAAAACUUUUUGAGUAGAAUGGUGGCCGAAAAUAUGUAUGUUAAAGGAAUGGACAGCAAAUAUGUUCGCAUUCUGUCGGCAACAAAAGACUUUCCUCAUGAAAAUAUGCUAGAAGAAUACAAACAACACGGGUGGAGACGCUAUUGCAGAACAUGUUUUGUUAAACAGUGAACAAGGGAAAGACAGAAGGAAAUUAAGCCUGAAGGAAAUGGAAGAAGUUGUUCGGAUGGCUUCGUUUAAUGACACAAAUGGAUUAAUGCACAGCAGCAUUGUCAAAAACAGCCUCAUUAGCGCAUAUGUUCCGUUCUUACCUCUAGAAAGAGUUCACGUAGAAAAAUGCAUCGUGGACGGACUAUUUGCAAAAGGGUUUUAUGAGUAUGAAUAUCAGGUAGACCAAGAAACAGUUGGGGCUAUUGCAAAUGAGCUUUUGUACUUUCCAAACGAUACACGUCUGUUUUCUACUACUGGUUGCAAACGUGUAAUGGAGAAAAUUGAUUUAAUAAUGCAAGAAGAUGCAUAAGACUUCAAGUGGAUGCAGACUGGAGCUUUCUGUACUAGUAAACACACGUUUUGAUUAACAGAUAUAAAUGUAAAACGCAAGUUGGUAAAAUAUGCACGUGAAAAUUUUACACUGCUACGGCUUCGAAUUUUGUUUAGAUGUUAUCUUGAAGAAGAUAUUUUGAGUAGGAUGAAAGGGGAAACUUACGGCUUGAUAAAUCUAAGCCAAGAUGGUUUGUCUUAACUUAACACACUCCCUUCCUGUCCUUUUACAGAUAGAAGUUGGACAAUGAAAGACUAUCAGGUAUUAACAUGUUCAUGUGGAAACAACGACAUUGGCCUGAUACAAAGAUACCGACAUAUAUAUAGUUAUUCAAUCUGAAAAUGCAUACAUUGUCAUCCGAAAUUUCUGUGUUCUGCAAUAUAUGUUUUGCGAUUACUAUUGAAAUGUUACAUUUAUCUUGUGUUAUAUCCAGGUGGUAGAUAUCUUUCGAAACAUACGCUGCAUAUUGAAAAGGAUUAUAUCAAGUAACACAUGUGUUUGCUGAGAGCUUUCAAUCAUUACUCUACCUUUAGAAGCAUUGUUUUGCCUGUUGCAAUUACUGGUCAAGACUUUCACGCAUAUUAAACUGUCAGCACUUGUAACAUAUUUUUUAUGCACCAAAAGACAUUUAAAAAUACCCGAAUAUUUGAUAUACAUGAAUACUUUCUUCUGUCGGAAGGAAAUGGUUUUAUGCAUCUUUUAUAUAAACUGAAAUAUUGAGGUUAUUUCCAACCAUUUUUGAUAUAUCCGAAGAAAGUAAGAAACAUUUUUUUCUCAUUUAUGAUAUCCGUAUCUUAUUUAUUUGUUUUGCAUUAACAAGGUACAUGCAUUCAAUAAAAUCUGUAAAAAGAUCCUUUGGAAGCAAGGAAUGCAAUCACCAAGCAAAAUAAUAGCAGACUCGGUUUGAUUGUUCAUGAGAGGUAAUGAAAUGUGCAACACCUCUCUUGUCCCCUAGCACCGGCCCAAGCGGAACUCUAUUACACAUAAGUUGAAUGGACUCCAUGAUCCCAAAGGACCAGAAAAUAUAACAACACUGAAUACUAUUAUCGUUCUUACCAGCAAAUAUUAAUCAUGUUUGUACCGUCAAGUUACUAUUCAAUUUGUUUUUGUCUCACUGAACAGGUGGACGACUCCAUGAUAAGCUAGGAUAAAUCCUGAAUUCUAGUUCUAAUCUAGACAAGCCAGAAAAAACACAACGCUUUCCACAAUUGUACAGUAUGCAUAGUACUUAACUUUAAAAGGGUCCUCAAAGAAGAUUAAGCAAUUUUAAAAUGGCCGCCUUGAAAUAUUUAUUAUAUACAAAAGGUCUUUUUCAAAAGUACAUUGUAAAUGUCACACUAUUGUAUAAAAUCGUCGAAUUAACAAAACAAGUUAAAUUUUGCAUGUGUGCAUAUAACGAAAUUAUCUUAUAAACCGCUAUUGUCUAUAAAUUAAGCAAUAUCUUAAACAUAACUUGUAUAACAUUGUCUUUACAUUUGUGUUUUUAUAAGUACCACUAUGUAUUUUAUGUAAUGUGAAAAUAAAAUUGUAUAUAUAUUUUGCAUAGUCAUUGCAAGGAACAAUAGAUAUAGGCACAUUUUCUUCCUUGUUCAUCUUAUAUCCAAAUCAGUUGACCUAAUGACGAACCAUGUAUUAAGAAACACGAAAGUGAUAAGUAAGGUGGAAUUAUGAUUCUUUGACACUGCACUUUGUCUCAAUGGCCUCUAUAAUCAUGUGAAGUUUCAUUCAAAUGACAUUAAUAGUUUUCAAGUUAUACUCCAGACAAAAGUGUGAUGGACGGACUGAUUGACGGACGGACGGACGGACGGAAGGAAUGAAGGACAAAGCGGCAACUAUAUGCUCGCCCUUCGGGGAGCAUAACAAAAUCAUUAUAACUUUUUAAAAAGUGACAAAUGCCUUUCUGUUUCUUUUCCUUGUACAUCCUAUCUCCGGUUAUUAUAGAGAUUCUCCAAUCAACGUAGACGAAACUUACACAGUUAUCGUUCCUAAUAUAUCUAAUCUGGUUGGCGAGAUAACGUCGCCGCAAAGAUAACCUCGGCGUUUCGUAAUUAUAUCGAUUAAAUACUACAGCCCUUAAAAUAAAUUUUACCUCCGAUCAGAAACAUUCAAAACCUAAAACUAAUGAAAAUCUUGUCAAUAUGGGUAAGUAUUUAAAAUAUUUAAAAUGAUAAUUCAUUAAAAAUCACUCUUUUACUGAACUUUCGGCCACCUGAGUGAUUUUUAAUGAAUUAUUAUAAUAUUAUCUACUUCCCUAUGGAAGAUCUUUGAAUGAAUGUAUUUAAAAUGGGUCGGAAUUUUAUUACAAAAAAAUCGUUGUCAAAUAGACAAAAUGUCGCAUUAUCCAGAUCACUAGUUUUCUGUCCGCAUCUGUAAAUGCCAAUCCCUUCCCUUUUUUAAGCAUAGGUUACCAAAGCUCAGAGAAAACUUAGCUGUGACAGAAUCAAACUAAAGACAGCAGUAGUUUAUUAGAUUUCAGAUUAGAGCAUAUAUAUUUUAGGUCUGGCCUUGCAACUUAAUAAGAAACUGUAUGGUCAACAUCUUGUAAUUGGUCCUGUUGUGAAACACCUGAGGGGUCAUGUUGAAGGUCUCCCGCGAAAAGCAACAGUGCUAUCGCUACAUGGACUUUCGGGAACGGGGAAAAACUUCUUGUGUAGAAUGGUGGCAGAAAAUCUGUAUAUCAAAGGAAUGGACAGCAAAUAUGUUCAUAUUCUGUCAGCAACAAAGGACUUUCCUCAUGAAUAUAUGCUAGAAGAAUACAAAGAAAAAUUAAAACUAGAGAUCGAAACAGCGAGUAAAGGGUGUCCUAGAUCUUUAUUCAUUGUCAUUACUUCCGGGUUUAAUUGAUAUCAUUCGUCCAUAUACUGACUAUUAUGAUCACGUGGAUGGAAUAGAUUACAGACAGUUGUUAAUUUUCUUUUUGAGCAACACAGGUGGAGAUGCUAUUGCAGAAUAUGUUCUGUUGAACAGUAAACAAGGGAGAGAUAGAAGGAAAUUAAGUCUGGAGGAAAUGGAAGAAGUUGUUCGGAUAUCUUUGUUUAAUGACACAAAUGGAUUAAUUCACAGCAGUAUUGUGAAGAGCAGCCUUAUCACUGCCUAUGUUCCGUUCUUACCAUUAGAAAGAGUGCACGUGGAAAGAUGCAUCGUGGACGGACUGUUUGCAAAGGGGUUUUAUGAAUAUGAAUAUCAGGUAGACCGAGAAACAGUUGGGACUAUUGCAAAUGAGCUUUUGUACUUUCCAAACGAUACACGUCUGUUUUCUACUACUGGAUGCAAACGCGUGAUGGAGAAAAUUGAUUUGAUAAUGCAAGAAGAUGCGUAAGAUUUUAAGGAUGCAGAUUGAAGCUUUCUGUUUAUAUUUAAUUUAUGGGAAACGCACGUUAUUGAAAUAUGCACUGAAAAAUUUAUACUUCUGCUGCUGCUACAAAUCUUACUUUGUUGCCGUGACCUGGUAGAAGACAUUUCGAGGAAGGUUAAAGGAGAAACGUAGAGACUGUUAAUCCCGACACAAGACGGUUUGUCAUAGCUUCAUGAACUCUCUUUAUAUUGUUUGCAUAUAGAAGACCAUAAGGUAUUGAUAUAUCAACAUGGAAACAACGACACCUAAUACUUAUAUACCGACAUAUUUAUACUUAUUUAUUUUGAAAAUGCAUACAAUGUCUACAUUUUUUGUUUUCUGCAACAUUUGUAAUGUGAUUAAUAAUGAAAUGUUGUGUGAUAUCCAGGUACUAAAGAAUGGAAUAUCGCAAGUAACAAGUGGGUUUGCUAAGAGUUUUUAUCAUACAUUAAAAGACAUCCAAGAAGACCCGCAAACUUGACCCACAUGAAACUUUUCUUCCGUCGAACAGAGACAGUUUUAUUCAUUUUUUCAACCAGUUUGAAAUAUCUACAAAAAGUAAAAACAUGUUUGGCGCUAAUGAUAUCAAUAUUUUAGACUCGGAUAAAUUAAGUAAAUAGUCAUGUUUUCUGUACUCUUCAACAGGCAAGCACUUUUAUGGUCAAUAUCUGUUUUACUUUAUAUUGUUAAGAAGGCCUCUCAAAAAACAGGAUUUUCUAAAUACUUUUAUUUCUCUCUUCGAAUAAAUUGUGUAUUAUUAGACUUAAGACAUUUAAAUAUUUAAUACCUGAGCCAUUCUUUUUAUCUUUCUGCUUGAUGAUCAUGAAUUUCCCUGAAUCUAUCUGUUUCUAUCAAUGUCUAGACUUAAUCUGCAACGGUCAUUUACAAAUUUGUAAAUAGCCCUAUUUAUAUCUAAAAAUAGAUGACGUUUAUAAACAA